rnacentral:tRNA from 1 species
GGGGCUGUAGCUCAGUGGUAGAGCCCUCACCUUGCACGUGUGAGGCACUGGGUUCCAUUCUCAGCACCA